CCGCCAUUAGCUCAGUGGGAAAGAGCGUGCGACCGUAGACGUUGUAGGUGCGGGGUUCGAAACCUCGAUGGCGGUCCA
rnacentral:tRNA from 1 species